GAAGACCUAAAGAAGAAAGAAAAUGAAAAAUAGAAAAUAAAAAAAAAGGCAGGCUUGAGCUGUUCAAGCCGACUUCAACCUCAUUAUUCCAAUAACACCCAUCAUCUAAACCCAUGUUGCACCCCCAUCGUGCGACGCAAACCAUGGGCAAAACGGUAAUUUGGUGUAGAGCCAACCCAUUUCCGAUCAUAACACUGGGGGAGGCGCUGCCAUGGCUUCGGAUGAACCUUCGAUUUUCUUGAGACCCGAACUCAAGAACACAUCUUAUUAUUAUUAGAAUCUUUCAAAAAGGAAAAAGAAAAGGAAUAGGCAAGGUAAAUCCCCAAAUUUGCAAAAAUAACCUAACCGUAAUUUUCCAAAAAGUCGAUUCAGCUUCGUAUAAACCCUCACAGGACGAAUUUUACGCGCGAUUCGCAGUUAUAGCUAAAGGUUUUAUCUUUCUUUGCUGCCAGGAGAUUUGGGCUUCACUUCCAUGUGCUGUGACACUACAGUCUUGUCAUGCACAACUGUGUUCACAAGUCUUGUAACACAGAGACUGUUUAUGAAUUGAUGCAAUGGCAUCAUCUGGUAAAUUUGACUUAUCAUCUGUUAGCCCGGAUAGGCCAUUGUAUAAUUCUGCACAGCGUGGGUCCUAUACAGCUGCUUCACUGGAUAGAUCAUCCAGUUUCCGUGAGAACAUGGAAAAUCCAAUCUUGUCAUCCCUUCCAAGCAUGUCAAGAAGUACCUCAACCGUGACACAAGUGGAUGUGACUAACUUUUUACACUGCUUGCGAUUUGAUCCCAAGUUAAUGGCUGCCGAGCAUAAGUUCAACCGACAUGGGGAUUUUAAGCGACUUGCUAGUGCUGUCCUUGGUUCACCAGAUGCGUCACCAUCUGGUUCAUCGAAAGGCAAACUACCUUCUUCCUCUCCUGAGGAUCUGAAACGAUUAAAAGCUGGUCUGCGUGAAUCCACCAUCAAAGCCAGGGAACGGGUGAAGGUCUUCAGCGAGACCUUGUCGGUGAUCAACAAGUGUUUCCCAAGUAUUCCUUCGAGGAAGAGAUCAAGGCCAGAUGCUUUGCCUGGUGAUCGUUCAAGUGGCUUACUCCUGAAUCGUGCACCUACUGGGCCAGGUGUUGGUAAGAUGGGUACCCAAAGUCAUUCCCUCACAAGUGCAUUUGACUUUGAGCCACAGAAGGUUGAAGAAAGGGGUAAAAAUGCCAUUCCUAACAAACGAACCAGAACUUCAAUGGUGGAUCAAAGGGCGGAGGUUCGCCCUAACACUCCUGCUAGAUCAGCUGGAAAUGUAGACAGGGAUAAAGAAGUGUUAAGACUUCCGAAUAGUAAUGCUCUUCAGGGUGACGAUCGUGCAUUACCCAUUGUAGCUGAUGGUUGGGAAAAGGCAAAGAUGAAGAAAAAGCGUACUGGAAUAAAGGUUGAUGCUGCUCCUAGUCCAAGCUCAGUGUCUACAAAAGCUAUUGAUGGGUAUAGGGAACCCAAACAAGGAAUGCAUCCACGGCAUCUUCCUGAUGCCAUGUCAAGGUUAAAUGAUUCCCAUGGGUUCAGGCCAGGAGCUGCUAAUGGAGUAGUUGGAGGUGGAAAAGCUGAUGGUUCUUCUCAGCAGGCAAGUGUGGGAAUACGCUCUUCAAUACCAAGGCCAGAGCAGGAGAAUACAUCCCUUCUCCAUGAUAAAAGAGAUAGAAGUACUAGUUCUGAGAAGGAAAGGACGAAUCUCAGAUCUAUUAACAAUCUUUCCUUUAUGACAACCAGAUCCAAUGUCCGAGAAGAAUUCAUAUCAGGUAGUCCUACCUCUAGCACAAAAAUGCACGCGACUGCUCGAGGUCCAAGAUCAGGGUCAAAUAUUGUUCCUAAAUCAUCAACGGUAGUUCAACGAGCAACUGCUUCGAGUGAUUGGGAGCUGACUCACGGUACAAACAAGAACCCUGGAGCUUUUGGCUCUAGUAAUCGUAAGCGAACUCCUUCAACACGGUCUUCAUCUCCACCAGUAGCACAGUGGGCCGAUCGGAGACCCCAGAAGAUAUCACGUACAGCAAGGAGAACCAAUCUUGUUCCUAUUUUAUCUAAUAACGAUGAAGUCCCUGCUUUGGAUACUAGUGAUGUUACUGGUAGUGAAAGUGGAGCUGGGUUUGGCAAACGAUUUCCAGCCAAUUCUCCUUCUCAGUUCAAAUCAAAAGGCGAUCAUUUCCCAUCAUCUACAUUAUCGGAAAGUGAAGAGUCGGGGGCUGCUGAAAUCAGAUCUAGGGAUAAAGGAAAGAAGUCUGAUGAAGUGGAAGAGAAAGCUGAACCGAAUGUUCAAAAGAUGUCAACUUUAGUCCUGCCAACAAGAAAGAAUAAGAUGGUGAAUGGGGAAGACAUGACAGAUGGAGUUCGUAGACAAGGCAGAACGGGGCGAGGCUAUGGUUCUGCACGGGCUGUUACGCCAAUGACAGUUGACAAGAUUCGCAACCCUGGAACUGCAAAACAACUUAGAACUGCCAGACUUGGUUUCGACAAGUCUGAAAGCAAAUCAGGCCGCCCUCCCACUAGGAAGCUAUCUGACCGCAAAGCUUAUACACGUCAAAAGCAUACUGCAAUCAAUGCAGCAGAGUAUCUUGUUGCUUCUGGUGAUGGACAUGAAGAGCUUUUGGCUGCAGCUAAUGCAGUUAUUAAUCCCAAUCAUGCUUUGUCGAGUCCAUUCUGGAGGCAGAUGGAACCACUUUUUCGGUUUGUAUCUGACAUGGACAUGUCCUAUUUAAAGCAACAGGGUAGCAUUCAGUCUACUAUUACGACCAAUAACCCAGUACAUCUACGCUUAGAUAGUUCUGGUACACUUCCUAAUGGAACAGACAGCAGAAGUAUUGAACCAAGUCCGGAACGUUUUGCACCAGAAACUGCAAGUCCCGGAGAAAUUCCCCUCUGUCAGAGGCUCCUUGCAGCUCUAAUUUCCGAAGAAGGAAAUGACGAGCUUCCGUUAAGCGGGAGUGAUGCCCACAAGUUUAAUGUUUAUGGAUCUGGAUUCGAGUUUGAGACUGAUGUAGAAUCCAAUGCCUUCAAUCAUCGGUCAUUGAAGAACUUCGAACUUGGUGGACAUGGUACUUUCGGCGGUCAUAGGAUAAAUUCCGCACUGAGAUCGUGUAACGAGCCGAUGCAUAGCCCAUCAAAUAAUCAUAUUAUGUCCGUGCCGGAUUCAACAAUUUCUACGGGUUUUGAUCAUUCCUAUAAUGGUCUACUUUCAGAUCCAGCAAUGAUGUCUGGCAUUACCAUUUCUGAAUAUCAGUAUGGUAACAUGUCAAUAAAUGAAAGACUUCUCAUAGAGAUUCAGAGUAUUGGACUCUAUCCAGAACUAGUGCCUGAUUUACCAUGUAAUGGAAAUGAAGAUAUCGGUGGAGAACUUAGCAGACUUGAAGAAAAGCACCAUGAACAGGUUUCCAGGAAGAAAAGCCUGCUCGACAACCUUUUAAAGUCCACUAAUGAAGCAAGAGAGCGUCAAGAGAAGGAAUUCGAACAACUUUGUCUUGACAAACUCACUUCAAUGGCUUUUCAAAAGUACAUGAGUUGCUGGGGUCCUCAUGCACCCGGUGGUAAAAGUGUUGGUGGCAAAAUGGCCAAGCAAGCUGCUUUAGCUUUUAUGCAACAGACACUGGAUCGAUGCCAUGAAUUUGGAACAACAGGCAAAAGCUGCUUCGCCGAGCCCUUAUAUCGGGAAAUGCUCCGCUCUGGAUCUUCACACUUAAACGAUGCACAAAUAGAUGUCGCAACCGAUGGUGAAUUUGGUAAAGUCUAUGGGAACUCCAUAGAAAGAGUUUCAGGUGCACAACUGAGCCCUUCGUUAAACAACCAUGACAUAUAUUCGUCUGAUGCAUUCCACUCAUCUGAGCAAACUUUCGGAAAAGCCGAUAUAUGGUCAAGCAGGGUAAAAAAUAGAGAGUUGUAUCUCGAUGAUGUCGUUGCCGGUACUUCUUCAGGAGCACCCUCAGGCAUUGGAACAACAAUUUUGAAUAGUGCAAAGGGAAAGAGGAGUGAUAGGGACAGAGAAGGCAAGGGGAACGGCCGGGAGGUCUUAUCCAGAAAUGGAGCUCCUAAAAUUGGGCGGCCGGCAUCUGGUAAUGUUAAGGGUGAAAGAAAAGCUAAAACGAAACUGAAGCAGAAAACGACUCAGUUAUCUGCUUCUCUCAAUGGCCCUAUCGGCAAGAUUUCAGAUCAACAUAGACCAACAAUGCCUUCAGUUCCGAAACCAGUCGAGAUGAAAAAUAACAUCAUCAAAGAGAAGGAUGACUACAAGUUAUUGGAGAACUCCGAGGAGCCACUCGAUUUUUCCCACCUGCAAAUUCCUGAAAUGGACGUUCUUGGUGAUGAUCUUGGUGAGCAAGGGCAGGACAUAGGUUCAUGGUUGAACAUCGAUGAAGAAAUAUUACAAGAUGAUGAUUUUAUGGGCCUCGAGAUUCCAAUGGACGAUCUGUCAGAUUUGAAUAUGAUGGUCUGACGUUGAUUAUGUUGUAUAGACAUGUUCAGUAUACCAACUUACAGAUGAAACAUAACGGCUGGUGUCGAGAAAUCGAACAUGGAUGGAUGUUCAAAUGACGUUCCCGCCCUUGAUUGGAUACAAAUUCUUUUCGGAACCCCUGAAAAGCUUUGGAUGGUACGCCAGCAAUUAUUGGAAAGGGAACAAUCUCUCUGUUGCCACUGCAAUUUGAAGAACCAUUUCAGAACGCAAUGGGAUCCUUUGCCAAUUCAUUUGUGAAUACGGUUAUCAGACUAACUAUAUUGUGUUGUUUUUAUUCUAUGUAGUUGUUUCCCCUGAACGAUGUAAUCUAUGUUGCUGUUAUUGCAGGUAAGCAAUCAUGGAGUUUUAGCUUGUGGCAAUCAAGAUUCUUCGAGCUGAGGUUUUUUAGUAGCAUCUAGCUUCUUGCACAAAUCUGGAUUUCUUGCAUUGUUUGAAUUCUUGCAGCAGGAUGACCGUCAAUCAUGGAUUUGCAUGUAGCGGACGAUAAAGGCGUAGGACGUUUGAUGGGGACAAACGGAGAACUCCAACUUGAUUCAUUCGGCAGCUGAAAGGAACAUUUUUUCUUUCAUCUUGCAUACUUUCGUGCAACGGUACGCACUCGCUCUUUUCGCUGUGUAAUUUUUUGUUGAUUCUAGGCGUAAGGAACCUUAGCCGGAUACAUGGUGUUUGAUUUUGGAGGACUCGGAGGAGGGGGGGCUACAGAACAAAGGGUAAUUGAAAUCGCAAAAUCUUUCGGAAAUGGGUGGUCACAUACUAAUUUCAUGGCAAAUCGCCUAUGUUGUUCUUGAAGUAAAUCUUUUAGCAACAACAAAUCUAUACGAUA